rnacentral:rRNA from 1 species
UACGGAGGGUGCAAGCGUUAAUCGGAAUUACUGGGCGUAAAGCGCACGCAGGUGGCUGAGUCAGUCGAUUGUGAAAGCCCUGGGCUUAACCUGGGAAUUGCAGUCGAUACUACUCAGCUAGAGUAUGGGAGAGGGUAGUGGAAUUCCCGGUGUAGCGGUGAAAUGCGUAGAUAUCGGGAAGAACACCCGUGGCGAAGGCGGCUCUCUGGAACGCAACUGACGCUGAGACGCGAAAGCGUGGGGAGCAAACAGG